CCUACGGGGGGCAGCAGUGAGGAAUAUUGGUCAAUGGACGAGAGUCUGAACCAGCCAAGUAGCGUGAAGGAUGACUGCCCUAUGGGUUGUAAACUUCUUUUAUAUGGGAAUAAAAUGUUCCACGUGUGGGAUUUUGUAUGUACCAUAUGAAUAAGGAUCGGCUAACUCCGUGCCAGCAGCCGCGGUAAUACGGAGGAUCCGAUCGUUAUCCGGAUUUAUUGGGUUUAAAGGGAGCGUAGGUGGAUUGUUAAGUCAGUUGUGAAAGUUUGCGGCUCAACCGUAAAAUUGCAGUUGAAACUGGCAGUCUUGAGUACAGUAGAGGUGUGCGGAAUUCGUGGUGUAGCGGUGAAAUGCUUAGAUAUCACGAAGAACUCCGAUUGCGAAGGCAGUUCACUGGACUGCAACUGACACUGAGGCUCGAAAGUGUGGGUAUCAAACAGGAUUAGAUACCCUUGUAGUC
rnacentral:rRNA from 1 species